rnacentral:tRNA from 1 species
GGUGGCUCAGUGGUAGAGUGCUUGCCUUGCAUGCAUGAAACCCUAGGUUCGAUUCCUCAGCACCA